rnacentral:rRNA from 1 species
UGCGCAGGCGGUUAUGUAAGACAGAUGUGAAAUCCCCGGGCUCAACCUGGGAACUGCAUUUGUGACUGCAUGGCUAGAGUACGGUAGAGGGGGAUGGAAUUCCGCGUGUAGCAGUGAAAUGCGUAGAUAUGCGGAGGAACACCGAUGGCGAAGGCAGCCUUCUGGCCUAAUACUGACGCUGAGGUGCGAAAGCAUGGGGAGCGAACA